AGGGGGACUUUAGAUUUAAGUAGAGCACCGAACAGAGGUGGCUUCACAAGUGAAGAGGGUUUUAGCACAUGUUCAAAGUAGGGAGAUGCGAGAGGAAGAGCGAUAUCCCAGCACCAGUGCUAGGGCUGCAUAGAGCCAGGUGGAGCCAAGUGUGUAGGUGGAAAGGUAUGGCUCUGAUGAGACUUUAUCAGGUGCAUCAUUUGUAGCGAGUGCUGGUUUAGGAACGUUGUGAUUGCUCUAGGAAAGUCCAAGACAACAAUUGUUGUGGCUGUCAAGCAAAAAGGUGUCUACAAUAUACUCUAAGGUGGUGCAAAGGAGUUAGUUAGGGUCUUCAGCAGUG
rnacentral:lncRNA from 1 species